GACGAACGCUGGCGGCGUGCCUAAUACAUGCAAGUUGCGCGAUGAAGAUUGGUGCUUGCUCCAAUUUGAAGAGCAGCGAACGGGUGAGUAACGCGUGGGGAAUCUGCCUUCGAGCGGGGGACAACAUUUGGAAACGAAUGCUAAUACCGCAUAACAACUUUAAACAUAAGUUUUAAGUUUGAAAGAUGCAAUUGCCUCACUCAAAGAUGAUCCCGCGUUGUAUUAGCUAGCUGGUGAGGUAAAGGCUCACCAAGGCGAUGAUACAUAGCCGACCUGAGAGGGUGAUCGGCCACAUUGGGACUGAGACACGGCCCAAACUCCUACGGGAGGCAGCAGUAGGGAAUCUUCGGCAAUGGACGAAAGUCUGACCGAGCAACGCCGCGUGAGUGAAGAAGGUUUUCGGAUCGUAAAACUCUGUUGGUAGAGAAGAACGUGGGUGAGAGUGGAAAGCUCAUCAAGUGACGGUAACUACCCAGAAAGGGACGGCUAACUACGUG
rnacentral:rRNA from 1 species